rnacentral:rRNA from 1 species
UACGUAGGCAGCGAGCGUUGUUCGGAUUCAUUGGGCGUAAAGGGUGCGUAGGUGGCGCCGUAAGUCAGGUGUGAAAUUUCGGAGCUUAACUCCGAAACUGCAUUUGAUACUGCGGUGCUUGAGGACUGGAGAGGAGACUGGAAUUUACGGUGUAGCAGUGAAAUGCGUAGAGAUCGUAAGGAAGACCAGUGGCGAAGGCGGGUCUCUGGACAGUUCCUGACACUGAGGCACGAAGGCCAGGGGAGCAAACGGG